rnacentral:rRNA from 1 species
AUUGAACGCUGGCGGCAGGCCUAACACAUGCAAGUCGAGCGGAUGAAGGGAGCUUGCUCCUGGAUUCAGCGGCGGACGGGUGAGUAAUGCCUAGGAAUCUGCCUGGUAGUGGGGGAUAACGUCCGGAAACGGGAGCUAAUACCGCAUACGUCAUGAGGGAGAAAGUGGGGGAUCUUCGGACCUCACGCUAUCAGAUGAGCCUAGGUCGGAUUAGCUAGUUGGUGGGGUAAAGGCCUACCAAGGCGACGAUCCGUAACUGGUCUGAGAGGAUGAUCAGUCACACUGGAACUGAGACACGGUCCAGACUCCUACGGGAGGCAGCAGUGGGGAAUAUUGGACAAUGGGCGAAAGCCUGAUCCAGCCAUGCCGCGUGUGUGAAGAAGGUCUUCGGAUUGUAAAGCACUUUAAGUUGGGAGGAAGAGCAGUAAGUGAAUACCUGGCUGUUUUGACGUUACCAACAGAGUAAGCACCGGCUAACUUCGUG